CGAGAAAUAGCAUAAAUAAGUGUGUUUUGCUUACAACAAAAAGGUGGAAAAAUUUCCUUUCUUGU
rnacentral:tRNA from 1 species